CCUACGGGGGGCAGCAGUAGGGAAUAUUGGACAAUGGGCGCAAGCCUGAUCCAGCCAUCCCGCGUGAAGGAUUAAGGUCCUAUGGAUUGUAAACUUCUUUUCUCUGGGAAUAAAAACCGGUAUUUAUAUCGGCUUGAAGGUACCAGAGGAAUAAGCACCGGCUAACUCCGUGCCAGCAGCCGCGGUAAUACGGAGGGUGCAAGCGUUACCCGGAUUCACUGGGUUUAAGGGGUGCGUAUAAGUCUGUAUAGAAAGCCCGGAGCUUAACUCCGGAACUGCCAUUGAUACUGUUUAGCUUGAAUCAUCUUGAAGUGGAUGGAAUAUUACAUGUAGCGGUGAAAUGCUUAGAUAUGUAAUAGAACACCGAUUGCGAAGGCAGUUCACUAAGGUUGUAUUGACACUGAGGCACGAAAGCGUGGGGAUCAAACAGGAUUAGAUACCCCUGUAGUC
rnacentral:rRNA from 1 species